AUUGAACGCUGGCGGCAGGCCUAACACAUGCAAGUCGAACGAGUGGCGGACGGGUGAGUAAUGUCUGGGAAACUGCCUGAUGGAGGGGGAUAACUACUGGAAACGGUAGCUAAUACCGCAUACCAUCAGAUGUGCCCAUAUGGGAUUAGCUUGUUGGUGUGGUAACUGCUCACCAAGGCGACGAUCCCUAGCUGGUCUGAGAGGAUGACCAGCCACAAUGGAACUGAGACACGGUCCAGAAUACUAGGGGAGGCAGCAGUAGGGAAUAUUGCAACAUGGGCGAAAGCCUGAUGCAGAAAUGCCGCGUGGAUGAAGAAGGCAUUCGGGUUGUAAAGUACUUUCAGCGAGGAGGCGUUACCCGAAGAAGAAGCACCGGCUAACUCCGUGCCAGCAGCCGCGGUAAUUC
rnacentral:rRNA from 1 species